AGCGCAGCAGUGCCAGCUUCGCCACCUGGUGAACAUCACUGGAACAGGGUCUCCAGGGAUUACCACAAAUGGAGUACUGGGACAAGAGCAUUAGGUGAGGCAUCUGAUGUCAAUGUAUUAAUUAAAGUGGGAAUGUAAGCCAUGGGAAAGUUCUUCAUCUAUCCUUCAGAUUUGUCACAAGCCCUGUAUUCUCUGAAAUUUCACCUGGAACUUUCUGUUUGCAUUUUUUAUAGUCUCAUCUCCCUUGCUACUGGCUGUGUAAGAGAUAAUCCAUGUUUCUGAGCUCUUCAUGCUGGUUCCCCAAUAGCAGCCCAAAUGCCAAAGUAGGACAAUACCUUCCUUGAAGUAUCCAAAAUUGAACACAGCUGGGGCAGACAUCUUCAAGAAGAGCUGAAAAAUUGGUAAAUAUUUUUUAGGUGAUAACAUAGGCUGUAAGUUGCAACAAGGGUUUGCCUUUUUUACAGCAGCAUAACGUUUCUCACUUCUAUUCAUCUUAUGAUCUAUGUUAACAUCCAAGUCUGACAUGCAAUUAUUUAGCUUGUUCUUCCUCACCUUAUUUUUCUUCAGUUCAUUAUUCUUGCCUAAGUGUAUGACCUGUUUGUUUUUACUGAGUUGCAUCCUCUCAACACCUCUUGAUGUUGUUCUACAAUAUAUACCUGUUAUGUUUGAUUGGCAAAAAUACCUACCCAUAGUAACUGUGAAUAAAUCAACAUGUUUGUUUAUUCAAAAAGAAGUUGGUGUCUUAUCUAGAGAAAUCUAGCAAAUAAAAUGUUCACAUUUUUUCUAUUGAAUCAGAUUAUCCUUUUUUAUCUAGAUUAUUUUUCAAAGAGGAGAAUACCCUAAUGCCUCAUUUUAAAAAAUACAGAAUUUAGAAGUCAUUAUUUGAAAAUAAAGACCAAAGAAAGGUAGAUUUUGGCAUUCUAGUCUCACAGAAGGAGAAUGUAUAGCAUUCUCAGUUAUGAUAUCCAUAUUUGUACCUAGUACCAUGCCAGGCUAUGAAUAGUUAUCACAAGAAUCCUGUUCAUGUGCUGUGUGAA